UAGGACGAACGCUGGCGGCGUGCCUAACACAUGCAAGUCGAGCGAGGGAUUACGACAGAUUCCUUCGGGAUGAAGAUGUAGAUUCCUAGCGGCGGAUGGGUGAGUAACGCGUGAGGAACCUGCCUUCUACAAGGGGAUAGCCUCGGGAAACCGGGAUUAAUACCCUAUGACACUUAAGAUUCACAUGAAUUUUAAGUCAAAGCGAUUUAGCGGUAGAAGAUGGCCUCGUGUCCCAUUAGCUAGUUGGUGAGGUAACGGCUCACCAUGGCUACGAUGGGUAGCCGGCUUGAGAGAGUGAACGGCCACACUGGAACUGAGACACGGUCCAGACUCCUACGGGAGGCAGCAGUGGGGAAUAUUGCACAAUGGAGGAAACUCUGAUGCCAGCGACGCCGCGUGAGUGAUGAAGGCUUUCGAGUCGUAAAGCUCUGUCCUAUGGGACGAUAAUGACGGUACCAUAGGAGGAAGCCCCGGCUAACUACGUGCCAGCCGCUGC
rnacentral:rRNA from 1 species